UCUCCCUUGAUUUGCUCCCUUUUGUUAUUAAAUAAUUAUAUACUUUAAAUAAAAAUAAAUAAUAAAAGCAUAAAUAAGAUACAUAACAAACUAAAAUUUUACAUUUUUACUAAAUAUUAAAGGUGUUGCUAAUGAGCCCUCUUAAUUGUUAAAAUAUUGACAUUUUGAAAAUUUCCCCUUGAAAAAUCAGUGUGGGCCUAAGGCCCAAAGAUACAAUUUAGUUUGAGGCCCAAUAAAACUCUUAUUGGGCUUUGGUUUCACUGUAAAGACAAAAAAAACCCAGAGAGGAUAAGAAAGAAGAACAAAAAUAAAAACACCGGCAGCUCUGUUGCUCUCUUCUUCUUCUCCGAUCAUUGGAGGAACAACCAAAUCAUAAACGCAGCACUUCGCUUCCUCCUUUGUCAGCAUGUCCAGCCCCCUAUUCUGUUCCCUACAUACAUCUGUUGGCACUGGAGCUCCCAUAUAAUGUUAUUGUACGGCAAGUGUCCAUGUGUGAGCAUGUGGAUGGCUUUGGUUGAGUCAAUACUACUUUCUAGCUGUAAUAAUUCAUGUUCUGCUGCUAGUUGGAGGCCCUGGAUAAGUGCAUGGAGGUCAACUAAGAUAGCGGUGGUGUGAGAAUCCCCUUCAUGUAGCCUAAUAUCCAGUCGCCUGUAUGGUUCCUAAAGACCCCUCUGAACCUUCCUAUUCCAGGGUUGCAUUUUGUGGAUCCAUUGGUGUUGAGCUUGUAGUUACCCGUCCUUCAAGAAGAUGUAAUCACUCUGCCACUGAUUCACCCCCCUCUGCUUUGGUUUCUCCAGACGAGAAAAAUGUCGCCUUGGCUGUUUCAUAGAACUGCAUCAACAGUGAGGACUUAACCACUACUUGCAAGAUUCUUUUACCUGUACUUUUUUCUGCUGUAGAGUACUGAUCACCAAUCAUAUAUCUCACGAGAGUCUGACAAUUCGGAGAAGGUACUUGUGAUCACACACAGAAUCACCUGUAUGUAUCGACAUGCAUUUUCAGAAUCCUCAGCUCGUCUGAAAGGGAAUGGUUUCUCUUCCAAGUUCAAGUGAUACAGUUUUAGAGUACAACUACUGAGCUCUUGAUGAAACUCGAAGGACUUACAAGAAGGAACGUGGCAAACCAUCUCCAGGUAUUAGUUAGUCAUCGCGUUUCAAUCUGCUUUCGAAUUAGGGAUUUUCUAGGUACAUCUGGUUUGUAAUGUGGAAAUAAGUUGCAAGUUGAUACUCUGUAUCACAAGAUGAAUUGUGUCCCUUUUUUCCUUUGUAGAUUGGAUAUUUCAUAUAUGUAUGCAAUCCAUGUACUGUGUUUAUGAAUUUAGUUGACUCUUGAACUAAGCAUGACAAGAAUUAGAUA